GGUUCCAUGGUGUAGUGGUUAUCACGUCUGCUUUACACGCAGAAGGUCCUGGGUUCAAUCCCCAGUGGAACCA